GAAUACAUAGUUCAAUGGUAGAACAAUUGGCUGUUAACCAAUUAAUGAGAGUUCAAUUCUCUCUGUAUUCGCCA
rnacentral:tRNA from 1 species